rnacentral:lncRNA from 1 species
CAGGAUUUACUCUUGUUGGGGUGGAAGUCUGAGUUUGUGCCUUGCUUAAGUGUCUUCUCAUUUUUGUUUUUGGUACCAUCCUUGGUUUAACUCCUGGGUUGAUAGUUUGAAAUUGCUUAUUGUAGGUAUCUUUGUUGCUUGUAAUUAGAACCCUUAUAGAAUGAUUGCUUCUCAGAGGUGUCUUCCAGGUAUAGGUGGUCUUUAAGUUUUGAGUCUCUAAUGACUCUAAGACUAUCUCAUUUUCCUUAUACUAGGAUGGUUCAUCGACUAGAUCAAUACCAACACCUUAGCCCAAGUGAUACAAUCAGCAACACCAUUGCAUCAGGCAGUGAGGAAUACUGAGAUGCCCCUUCGAAGGAAUUAUCGAAAAUAAGGUAAGCAUUUUGCCCUUUUUGGAAUUGUACAUUGAGUAUCUAAUUAAAUUAUCAACAGAAUGUGAAACUGAACGUUUGUGAUUAUAUGUUAACUGCCAUCCAAAAUUAUUCUUCAUCUGUUACAAACUGGGACUCAUAGUACCCCAGAAAGCAGGUUCUUUUGGGUUCACCAAGUCUAAAACUAUUUCUUUGUGAGACAACGGUUAAAUUUUUUGUCAUCUUUUCUGUUUUCAAAGUUUUGUGUACUAUUUAAGGAUAGGAUAACCUGCUAUAAUAGCCAUGUGGUGAUUCCUGGAAGCCAAAAUACUUCAGGGUUUCCUGUUUACUGGACUUUGUUGUUAGUUACCCACAGCCCCAGGGAUGAAGUAGGAAAGUGGGAAAUCAUUUUAUAUCAGAGUGACAUGAAUGCAAGUGGAAAAGAAAUAAACAGAUUAAAUUAGAAUUGCAUGACUGCUUCUGAACCUAUUACCACCAUAUAUUACUCCUGACAUGUUUAUAAAGCUAUCUUCAUAUCUUAAUGAAUGGAAAGUAGCAAAUGUGUUUAUUCACCAUUCUGUUUUCUUCUGCAUUUCUCCACUUUCAAAAUAAGUGAUUCAAAUCCUGGAGUGGUACAAUUGAUGGGGGUUGGGGAAAGUGUAUGGGCUAUAUCUAUUAUCUUUAUAAUGAUAAUGGAAAAUACAUAAUAUCACUCACUUUCCAAUGCUGAUAUAUAAUAAACAUAUAAUGUAAAUAUAAUUAGUGUGGGUUAAUUGUUUACAUACAUAUUUGACAACUCUUUGAGGGAGUUCUUUACCAGCUUCAAACCCUCAUAGGAGUCCUGUGAGACAGGCUGGCAGCCAGCAUCUUUAAAUAGACAAGGCUUAAGCCUGAUUCAAUUUUUUGCCUAGCACAUACCUUAUUUUUAGAAUGC